ACGAGUGUCAUCUGUAAUACGGAAAUUAGUAAAAACAAAAGUAUAUUGAAUUUGAAUAAGGAACUCUUAAAGUAUAAAACUGUCAUCUGGUUUAAAAAAGUUGAGUUCCUACACAGCUUUUGCCUUAACUGGAACUAUGUGGUACGGACAUCUCUAAAACCAAACAAAAGGAUGUUCUUAUUUUGUGAUAUAAACAUGUGUGAUGGUGCGUGCUCAUGCAGACGCAUGCUCGUGCAGGCGAGUGCUCAUGAAGGCAAUGCUGCAGAAGUUUAUGCAGAGCGCGGAGGACCGUGUUGUUCGCAGUGGCUCUGGUACAUGCUGUGGCACUGGAUUACAAUGGGCGUGAUGAACUCCAGACGUAUGCGAUUUAUCUAUUUUUGCAGUAGGCAGUUCUCUGCCCAAUGAUCACACAGUUAACUGAUUUGCCAGUUCAGUCCAAAAGUCAAGUCGGGCCAAAAGAAGAAGGAAUCGGAAGAAGAAAAAUGUAUUUGGAACUUCGGAAUUUCAUUAAAUUGAAA
rnacentral:lncRNA from 1 species